rnacentral:lncRNA from 1 species
UUUUCCAGAUGAGGUCACUGAGGCGCAGAGAAGUGAAGUGGCUCGCCCACAGUCACCCAGUUGACGAGUGGCAGAGCCGGGAUUCGAACCCAUGAUCUCUGACUCCAAAGCCCGUGCUCUUUCCCCUGAGCCACGCCGCCGAGGUAUCGUAUGACAGAAGCCCCUCACUAGACUGCAAGCUUGUUUUGGGCAGGGAUUGUGUCCACCGACUCCCUCGUACUCUACCGAGCGCUUAGUACGAUGCUCCGCACACAGGAAGCUCUUGAUAAAUAUCAGUGACUGAUUGGAUUUGGGCAUUUAAUUGGCUCGCGGUCUUUAAGGGACAAAAAUUCUGUAGUAUCGGAUGGCAACGGGAUUUUUCACGAUGUGCUGAAAGGUUGCGUGUUUUCUUCCUCCUGAAAAGCGGCACUUGGGUAGUGUGAGAAAUGAACAUUCGGGUGAGCUGGUAGAUGACGCAGUUGGCCUUCUGCCAGCCGAGCCCAAGAAGACACUUGAAGGAAAUACAGAUUCGGACAGGAAAACUGGAUCAUUUCAAGUGGCUCUGAAUGAAGCCAGUGUUUCCUUCGUCCUUUUGUUUUUUUUAAUAUACUUAAAAUGGAGACGCGGUUUAUAAAUCGGGUCCUUUCUAGUCCUGAACUCCGUAUGUUCAAGAUGGAACUUGAAUACGUCUUGAUCGCGAGUGGGGAAGAAGCAGUUCGUAGUCGAGGGGUAGGUCUGCUCUCCCACUGGAUGUUUGACCUUGAGAAACGGAGGAAGAAACCAUCAAAAGGAGUUUCAAGUGACGGCUUGAGGAGAGACGGCAAGCCGUUACCAGGAAAAUAGGCCAAGACUGUCUUACGGACGGAGCUGAAAGUCUGACGUGACUUUGGUUGGUCGCCUCCACCCGUGACACCGCUGUACGAAGGGAUUGUUGCCCUGGAAUGUGAGGAUUGCAUUCCUGCCAGAUCCCGGGCCCGGGACAUCUCACACCGGGCUCAUCGCUGUGCGUAUACGACCGUUUCUUCCAGCCCCGCGUCACGUUCCACCUAGAGAGGUGGACGCUGUGGAAGGCCGGUCCCUAUUUCUAUUAUUAUGCCGCAUCCGUGGCGUGCAGUGAAAACACGUGUUCUGAGAGACUCAACCGUGGUCUACCGUUCCAUCGCUCAUUUAUCCGUCUUCCCAUUCUCUCGUUCCAUCCAGUUGCUUCCCUUCUCGUCUAACCCUAAAUAGUUCCGGG